rnacentral:rRNA from 1 species
CCCGACGACCGGCGCACGGGUGAGUAACACGUAUGAAACCUGCCCGUAGCAAGGGGAUAAGCGGAAGAAAUUCCGUCUAAUACCGCGUAACAACCCAUGGAGGCAUCUCUGUGGGUUUAAAGGAAGCGAUUCCGGCUACGGAUGGUCAUGCGUCGCAUUAGCUUGUUGGCGGGGUAACGGCCCACCAAGGCGACGAUGCGUAGGGGUUCUGAGAGGAAGGUCCCCCACACUGGUACUGAGACACGGACCAGACUCCUACGGAAGGCAGCAG